GCCCAUGGAAUACUAAUGGAUAUGAUGUGAAUAGUGGCAAGAAACGUGCAUAUGUCUUUUUAUUCUUCCAUCUCCAUGAGAAGAGUAUGCCCUGAGAUGCUCGCUGGUUUCAGAAACAAGAUAGAUACUGGUCUGAAGGAACACUCCAACAAACCUAUAGGCACCGAGUGUAAAUGAUGACUGCCAACUCCGGACGCUGUGUGACUGGGAUGUCUGCCCACUUGGGGAGGCGCUCUCAGCAGGCGCUUACAGAUGCGUGUCUCCUUCUUGUCUCCUGUCCUCCCUUCCGUCUUAGGUUCAAUGUUAUAGUUGAAUUUUAGAAAAAACGAAUGUUUGAGAAGAGAAAAAAACUGGCCUGGAGUUA